rnacentral:lncRNA from 1 species
AGGCCCACAACUUAAUCCCCGCUCAGCCAGUCCGGUUUCCAGCAUUGCCCAGGGGUCUACCUGGCCCCCGAACAGGAGAGCUGGUUGCUGAGAGGUCACCCUCUCCCUGUCCUAUCCUGCACUCUACCCCGCACCCCACAUUCACUCCAUAGUCCAGACAGCAGCAAAACAAGAGCUACUCGCCUCCCCUGGUGGGACUGAAACUCAGCUGAACAUGGAGCUUUGUCCGGACCUGGGGCCAUUGCUGUGCGCCCUCAGUGGUCCUCAGUGGCCUCAGCAGCAGUGGCAAGGAGAUGAGCCGGGGGAGGCUGAGAGGCCACAUCUCCACCAGCUUCUUCAGGGGUCCGACUCGGAUCGCCACGCAGAGAUCGACUCAGGGAAUGCUCCAAUAGCUAAACAGCGUCUCAAGAACUCCAGCAUGCCUUGGAGAGCCUGGAGUCCAGCACCCCGGGCCUCAGAGAGCAGCUUUGAAACUGGGAAGCAUUCCACCUCUGCCCACUGCUCUGGGUCACCUUUCUUGGGAGCUGACAUGCCCAAGGAUUGA